rnacentral:lncRNA from 1 species
CUUUCCAUGCCAUUUCACUCGGGGUAAUUCCAUUCAAUUCCAUUCCAUUACAUUCCAUUUGGGUUGAUUCCAAUCCAUUCCAUUCCAUUCCAUUCCAUUCCAUUCCAUUCCAUUCCAUUCCAUGCCAUUGCUUUCCAUUCCAUUCCAUUCUUUCCAUUCCACAUGGGGUGAUUCCAUUCCAUUCCAUUCCAUUCCAUUCCAUUCCAUUCCAUUCCAUUCCUUUCCAUUCCACUCGGGUUGAUUCCUUUC